AACGAACGCUGGCGGCAUGCCUAACACAUGCAAGUCGAACGAAGCCUUCGGGCUUAGUGGCGCACGGGUGCGUAACGCGUGGGAAUCUGCCCCUUGCUUCGGAAUAACAGUUAGAAAUGACUGCUAAUACCGGAUGAAGUCUUCGGACCAAAGAUUUAUCGGCAAGGGAUGAGCCCGCGUAGGAUUAGGUAGUUGGUGGGGUAAAGGCCUACCAAGCCGACGAUCCUUAGCUGGUCUGAGAGGAUGAUCAGCCACACUGGGACUGAGACACGGCCCAGACUCCUACGGGAGGCAGCAGUGGGGAAUAUUGGACAAUGGACGCAAGUCUGAUCCAGCAAUGCCGCGUGAGUGAUGAAGGCCUUAGGGUUGUAAAGCUCUUUUACCAGGGAUGAUAAUGACAGUACCUGGAGAAUAAGCUCCGGCUAACUCCG
rnacentral:rRNA from 1 species